UCAAGUUAUUAAGGGUGCAGGGCGGAUGCCUUGGCACUAGGAGCCGAUGAAGGACGUGAUAAGCUGCGAUAAGCUUCGGGGAGUUGCACGUAAACUUUGAUCCGAAGAUUUCCGAAUGAGGAAACUCACUUAGAGUAAUGUCUAAGUAUCAUUAAGUGAAUACAUAGCUUAAUGAGGGGAACUCAGGGAACUGAAACAUCUAAGUACCUGAAGGAAGAGAAAGAAAUUCGAUUCCGUAAGUAGCGGCGAGCGAACGCGGAUUAGCCCAAACCAAUAAAGUUUUCUUUAUUGGGGUUGCGGACAUAUCAUAACGAAGAGGUAUCGUAAUUGAAGAGGUUUGGAAAGACCCACCACAGAAGGUAAUAGUCCUGUAUGUUAAACGAGAAGACUUUAGAUAUGAUCCAGAGUACCACGGGACACGUGAAACCCUGUGGGAAGCAGGAGGGACCACCCUCCAAGGCUAAAUACUACCUAGUGACCGAUAGCGUAUAGUACCGUGAGGGAAAGGUGAAAAGAACCCCGGGAGGGGAGUGAAAUAGAACCUGAAACCCUGCACUUACAAGCUGUGGAAGCACAUUUCUUGUGUGACCGCGUACUUUUUGUAGAACGGGCCAACGAGUUACGUUAAGUAGCAAGGUUAAGCACUUAAGGUGCGGAGCCGUAGCGAAAGCGAGUUUUAACUGAGCGUUCAGUUACUUGACGUAGACCCGAAACCGGGCGACCUACCCAUGAGCAGGAUGAAGCGAAAGUAAAAUUUCGUGGAGGUCCGAACCCACGAGCGUUGAAAAGCUCGGGGAUGACUUGUGGGUAGCGGUGAAAUUCCAAUCGAGCCCGGAGAUAGCUGGUUCUCCCCGAAAUAGCUUUAGGGCUAGCCUCAAGGUGAGAGAUACGGAGGUAGAGCACUGAAUGUCCUAGGGGGUAUUGCACCUACCGAAGACUAUCAAACUCCGAAUGCCGUCAUCUUAUACUUGGGAGUCAGACUGUGGGUGAUAAGAUUCAUAGUCGAAAGGGCAACAGCCCAGAUCGUCAGCUAAGGUCCCUAAAUGUAAGUUAAGUGGUAAAGGAUGUGGGAUUGCACAGACAACCAGGAUGUUGGCUUAGAAGCAGCCACUCAUUCAAAGAGUGCGUAAUAGCUCACUGGUCGAGUGAUCCUGCGCCGAAGAUUUCCGGGGCUAAAACUUACUACCGAAGCUACGGCAUCANAUGAUGGGUAGGGGAGCUUCCCAUACGGGUUGAAGCAUGACCGUAAGGACAUGUGGACAGUAUGGGAGUGAGAAUGUUGGCAUGAGUAGCGAGAUGUGGGUGAGAAUCCCACAGGCCGUAAACCCAAGGUUUCCAGGGGAAGGUUCGUCCGCCCUGGGUUAGUCGGGACCUAAGCUGAGGCCGAAAGGCGUAGGUGAUGGACAACAGGUUGAUAUUCCUGUACUACCGAUAACCGUUUGAGAGAAGGGAUGACACAGUAGGAUAAGCUAAGCACACUGUUGGUUAUGUGUGCCCAAGCAUUGAGGCAGUCAAAGUAGGCAAAUCCGCUUUGAUAAUGCUGGGAUGUGAUGGGGAGCGAAAUUUAGUAGCGAAGUAGCUGAUUUCACACUGUCAAGAAAAGUCUCUAUCGAGGUUAAAGGUACCCGUACCGCAAACCGACACAGGUGGGUGAGGAGAGUAUCCUAAGGCCAGCGAGAGAACUGUUGUUAAGGAACUCGGCAAAAUGACCCCGUAACUUAGGGAUAAGGGGUGCCACCAUCAGGUGGCCGCAGAGAAUAGGCCCAAGCGACUGUUUACCAAAAACAUAGGUUUCUGCUAAGUCGCAAGACGAUGUAUAGGAGCUGACGCCUGCCCGGUGCUGGAAGGUUAAGGGGAUCUGUUAGAGCAAUCGAAGCAGUGAACUUAAGCCCCAGUAAACGGCGGCCGUAACUAUAACGGUCCUAAGGUAGCGAAAUUCCUUGUCGGGUAAGUUCCGACCCGCACGAAAGGCGUAACGAUUUGGGCACUGUCUCAACAACAGACUCGGUGAAAUUGUAAUUCCGGUGAAGAUGCCGGAUACCUGCGACAGGACGGAAAGACCCCAUGGAGCUUUACUGUAGCUUGACAUUGGGUCUUGGUACUACAUGUACAGGAUAGGUGGGAGGCUUUGAAACCAGGACGCCAGUUUUGGCGGAGCCAUCCUUGGGAUACCACCCUUGUAGUACUGGGACUCUAACCAUAGGCCAUGAAUCUGGUCUUGGGACACUGUCAGGUGGGCAGUUUGACUGGGGCGGUCGCCUCCCAAAAGGUAACGGAGGCGCUCAAAGGUUCUCUCAGUACGGUCGGAAAUCGUACGUAGAGUGUAAAGGCAAAAGAGAGCUUGAUUGCAAGACAUACAGGUCGAGCAAGGAUGAAAAUCGGACUUAGUGAUCCGGUGGUUCUGCGUGGAAGGGCCAUCGCUCAACGGAUAAAAGCUACCCUGGGGAUAACAGGCUUAUCUCCCCCAAGAGUCCACAUCGACGGGGAGGUUUGGCACCUCGAUGUCGGCUCAUCACAUCCUGGGGCUGUAGUAGGUCCCAAGGGUUGGGCUGUUCGCCCAUUAAAGUGGUACGCGAGCUGGGUUCAGAACGUCGUGAGACAGUUCGGUCCCUAUCCGUCGCAGGCGUAGGAAAUUUGAGAAGACCUGUCCUUAGUACGAGAGGACCGGGAUGGACGUACCUCUGGUGUACCAGUUGUCCUGCCAAGGGCAUGGCUGGGUAGCUAUGUACGGAAUGGAUAAGCGCUGAAAGCAUCUAAGCGCGAAGCCAACUUCAAGAUAAGAUUUCCCACCGCAAGGGUAAGACCCCAGAAAGACUAUCUGGUUGAUAGGUCGAAGGUGUAAGUGCAGCAAUGUAUUUAGCUUAUCGAUACUAAUAGGUCGAGGACUUGACCAA
rnacentral:rRNA from 1 species